UGCGUCCGUCCUGCUCGCAGAGAGGUGACUGGGGCCUCCCUGAUGCUAGCAACUUCCGCUGCCAUUAGCAAACUAGAAUGCCUUCGGGUCCCUGAGUGGGCAGCCCAGCAACAGUGAGCACAGUGCCCAGAGACCAGCAGCAAGAGUGACACCUGAGAGCAGCUUUGCACAGCCCAUCUGGACUCACUGUGGCCCUGGACAGGGGCAUACACCCCCUAGGUGCCUCUGUUCUUGAGAAAAUUACUGCGUAUCAACAAGGGUUCCUUCAAGGAAGGCACUGCUCACACAGAAGCAUCCAGGAUGGUCCAGCUCCAUGGACAUUUGAUCUCCCUCUUCUUAGGUAGGCCUGCACCUAACUCCAUUAUACAGUGAUUAGCACAGUGCCCUUGUUACCUGGGAGGCAUCCAUCUUGAUGAUGAACCACAUGAACCAUGAGCCACCUCAGGUGACGAUGGGUAAUGAGCGUGAUCCCCUCGAGGGAUGCAGCCCAGCUCUGAACACAAAGCCAAACAGGAGUUUCCGUACUGCUUUGAGCACAGGUGGUACCACUGGGGAAAGUACAGUCUCCCUGCUUUGCAGAUCACCUCUCUUGUAAGUGUGCAAACUCUGAUGACUAUUGUUCAGCUUUCCUGGUGUCCAGGUGAUGUCAUUGAUCUCAUGAGAGUCGUGAGAUACUUGUCAUGGCCUAGGAUUCUUCAAAUCAGCUUUAUGGUUCUUAGAAAAUUCUAUCUGGCUGCAAAUUUUUCAUGUUCCUGUUUACAUUUAGCAGUUUAACCUCUUCCAUUGCCAGGCAACAAAUAACCUCAGUAUUUACUGGGUAAAUACCAGGUAUGUGGCAUUGUUACAAGCACUGAGGUGUUACCCAGGAGGGAUCAGAUGUGUUUGCUUGACCUCUGGUUUCUAAGAUCUAAUUUAAGAGAUAAGACAGAUUAACAGUGGGAGUGAUAUAGAUGUGGGGGAAGGGUCUGGAAAAAUGUUUUAGCAAUUUUUAUACUUAAUAUACUUUUUGUUUGUUUGUUUGUUUGUUUGUUUCAGGGGAUUGAGCCCAGGGGUGCAUUACCUCUGAGCUAUGUUCCCGUCCUGUUUAUCUGUUUAUUAUGAUGCAGAGUCUAAGUUGCCAAGGCCAGCCUCCAACUUGUGAAUCUCCUGCCUCAGCCUCCCAAACUGAUGGGUUUGGAGGUGUGUGCCACCAGAUCCAUAACAUAGUAUUUUACACAGCUGAACUUGAAAGGAUUCCCCUGCCCCCCCUUACACACACACACACACACACACACCUGUGCUCAUUCAAGGCAAGUACUGUCCACCACUGAGCUCCCUUUCCCACCCUCACACAGCUGGAUUUGAAAGGAAAAUAUUUUAAUUUUUAAAACGUUCUUCUUUAGCUUUGUUCACAUUAAUUGUGGUUUCUUUAAGCUUUUUUUUUUCAAGGUUGCUUUAUGUUUCACUAUGUCAUAUUCAUUACAUUUAAAAGGAGAUGAAGACAUCAAAAUCAAAGGGUUCAAAAAAGUCAGGUAACACAAAAUGUUACACAGGUAACAUUCGUAUGGAAAGGUCUGUUUGAAUGACAGCACUUUUGAAUGCAGUGUUGUCGUGGUCUCACAUCUGGACGGCAUAUAUUCAUUCAGUCUUUCCUCAGGAACAUCCUAAGAGAGAGGUUAUAUGAUGCCUAUUUCACAUAAAAGAACAUGCACACGGGGGUCACGGGCUUCUGCAGACUCUUACCCUGAGUCACAAAAGCAGAGGUCAAGUCUCCAGACUCUCUUCGCCCUCUGCUGUGCAUACAAGGUGCUGUGUUCACUGACUUUAAAACUCAGCCACCUGCACCGGCUUCACCCUCUUCUCAACAGCAGACGACAGGCACACCUUCUGAAAAUACCUCAGAAAACACCUUUGCGUUUCCACAUUCAUGUUUCCCUAAGAAUACGCAUAUUCCUCCCAGGGCUUCAGAGCUGGAGAGGGUCUUUGAGAUCUGGUCCAACAGUCUCAUUUAAUAGAUGAAGAUGCUGAAGCUCAGAGUGGUUAAGAAGCUCCAAGAAGUGCACAGGUGAACCACACAGUAAAAUGGGCCCUCUGAGGAAAGGUCAAAGGCACCAAAAUGGUUUCCUCCAAAUGGCUCAGAAUGACCUUUGAGUGUCUAGGAAUUAUGAUGCAGGACAGGGAGUUUUUCACCUCUUUUCCUCUACCCAAAACUAAACAAGUUUUGUUAGUGUAAGCAAAAAGAAAAAGGCUAAAUAUAAGAAAGAGUUUUCUGGCAGCCAGGAUGAUUAAAAACUAAGAAGAGAAAUCUUUCUUUUCCCUUUUUUUUUCCAAUUUCUUUUUUCAGUGUUCGGGAUGGUACCCAGGGCCUCGUGCAUGCUAGGCAAAUGCUCUACCGCAGAGCUAUAACCCCAAUCUUCUUUCUUGCUCUUUUUGAGGUAUGAUUUAUAUACCAUAUAAUGCACCCACUUAAAAUGUACAUUUCAAUGGGUUUUAGUGUAUUUAUGUGCAAUCAUAAACACGAUCCUUUGUGUGUGUGUGCGUGUGUGUGUGCGUGUGUGUAUGUGUGUGGUGCUGGGGAUUGAACCCAGGGCCUUAUAGAUGUGAGACAAGCACUCUACCAACUGAGCUACAUCCCCAGCCCAAACACCAUCCAUUUUAAAACAUGUUUAUUCAUUUUUAAAAAGCCCAUUUUACUCUCCAGCUCUCAUUCUCCCCCCUCAACUACCCUAACCCUAAGUAACUCCUAACCUACUUUCUGUCUCUCUAGAUUUGUCUAUUCUGAAUACUGAAUAUUUCACAUAAAUGGAAUCAUAUAUGGUCUUUUGUGGCCUCUUUCCUUGAGUAUACUGUGUUUUUGUUUUUUGUUUGUUUGUUUUUUGCUCUAAUUAGUUAUACAUGAUAGUAUGAUGUAUUUUGACACAUUGUAUAUAUGAAGAAUAACUUCUCAUUCUUUGGUUGUGCACGAUGUAGAAUUAUACUGGUUGUGUAAUCAUAUAUGCACAUAGGAUAGUAAUGUCAGAUUCAUUUUACUAUAUUUCCUAUUCCCAUUUCCCUCCCUUUCCUUCAUUCCCCUUUGUCUAUUCCAAAGUACUUCUAUUCUUCCCUAACACCCCAUCCCAGUAUACUGUUUUUAAAGAUCAUCCCAUGUAGCAUUAUCAGAACUUCAGUCCUUUUUGUUGCUGAAUAAUAUUCCAGUGUAGGAUUAGACCAUAUUCUAUUUAUCUAUUCAUCACUUGAUGGACAUUUGAAUUUAUUUUAUUUCCAUUCUUUGGCUUUUAUGAAUAAUGCUGCUAUGACCAUUCAUGUACCAGUAUUUGUGUCAACAUACUUUCUUUUCUCAGAUAUAUACCUAGGAGUGGAAUUGCCAGGCCCAAAGUAACUCCCUAUAUAACUUUUUUUUUUGGGGGGGGGAGUACCAGGGAUUGAACCCAGGGGCACUUAACCACUGAGUCACAUCUCCAGAUUUUUUAUAUUUUUAUUUAGAGACAGGGUCUUGCUAAGUUGCUGAGGCUGGCUUUGAACUCAUGGUCCUCCUGCUUCAGCCUUCUGAGUCACUGGGAUUACAGGCAUGCGCCAUCGUGCCCAGCUCUGUUUAACUUUUCAAGCAACUGUGAAACUGUUUUCCAAAUGGUCUGUACCAUUUUACAUUCCCACCAGCAGUAUAAGAGGAUUCUAAUUUCUCCAAUAUUCUAGCACUUCAGGGGGUGUGAAGUAGUAUCUCAUUGUGGUUUUGAUUUGCAUUUUCCUGAUGACUAACGUGAAACAUCUUUUCAUGAGCUUAUUGGCUAUUUGCAUAUUUCCUUUGGAGAAAUUUCUACUUGGACAUUUUUCCACAAAAAUCACUUUUGAAAGGUUAAGUACAGAUUAGAUUAUCCUCCUCUGGAUUGCUUUAUCUCUACUCCUUUUAUUAUAUGAAUUAUGUGCGUCCUAAUUGUAUGAACCAGAAUUCUUUUGUUCUUUUCUAGUUCAACAAAUCUGCAGAUUAAAAGGAGUUUCAUGUCUGAAGUUUUGUCAGUCUGUUAUUUUUUUUCAAUGGGGAUGGAACUCCGGUCUGGUGCUUACUAGGCAAGUGCUCUAUCACUUAGCUAUGACCCCCCCACCCCUGAAGUUUGAUUUUUCACAGAAUAGAAACUUAGGACAAAAUGCUACACAAGGUCCCCACUUUCCCUAUAGAUGAAUUUGUGAGGAGUGGGUCUGUGGGGCUGUAUCUCAAGCCGUCCUUUGUUUGAGGGGCAAGUCCUGCGGAGCUGGCUCUUUGUGCUGAUGCACCAGCUAGCACAGAACAGGGCCAGUGGACCGCUGAGCUUCUCUUCCUGUGACACUUGGAAAUUAGUGCCAGGAAAAAUAAACCCAGGUUUAUCUGAAUUACAACAUUCAGAGGGGUCCACCUUCAACCCCAGCUACAAAGGUAUUGCUGGGUUGCUUCACCAAACUUGUGACCAGCAUAAAGCCAUGCUAGGCAGAAAAGCCACUCAGCAGGGCCCAUGGACAAGCACACAGUGAGGGCGCAGGCCUGGGUGGGAGGCCCGCUUCCCUCCAUCUCUGCAAUGAGCUGUUACUUUGCUUUAAUGAAAUGUGAGUAUUUAAAUGAUUUUUUAAAGUAAUUUCUUAAGUCCAUAGACACAACAUUCCCCCAAAUAAAGGCAGUGAUGGAAGGAGGGGAAUAGUGUGUACUGUUUGUGGGUGGGUAGAUGGAGUUCAAGUGAGAAGUUCCGACUACUUCCGGGUGGCUGAAUGCUGCACAGUUGAUCACUUGAACAAAGUACAAGCCCAUCAAUGUUUUAGGAGUUAAGGACAGCUGAUCUUCUGUUUCAUUAACAAAGGGCCCUUUAUGUUAUCCAUCAUGCACACCGCCACCCUGAUCAGGAGUAUUGAAGGGGACUUGUGAAGGCCAUCUGACCAGGCAGAAGGAGCCAAGCUUAAUGUUAAACUGAGAAGGUCAACCUACCUACAUGGUUUUUCAAAAAUGAGCAGGUCUUGGGAUUUUUCCAUUAUCCAAGACUCCACUGUCCAACUGUGGCUAGAUGAGCACCAGGGUCAUAAUGCCACGUAGCCCCCAGUCCUCUUACUGCCUGAUUUCCUAGCCUUCCUUUAUCCACUGUGAUGCUUCCUAUUCAGUAUUCUCCCAUGGUCAUUUUUUGUGUGUUUGCUGAUGAAAAGUUCAAUAAAUUUUCCCCUUAGUCCAAUCACUGAGUAGGUUGGGAAUGCUUCAGGGUCAGCCAGGGCAGUCAAGGUCCACCAGCAAAACCCAAGCAACUGGUCAAUAUCCUAGAGGCAGGAGGAAAUUCCAGGAUUCAUCCUUGCAGAAUGUUCUCCAAACAUUUCACAAUCACCUUGUUACCUUGUUAAUCACUCAGUCACUGCUUUUUUGUUGUUGUUUUUUUUCUUUCUCCAGUACUGGGGAUCGAACCCAGGGGUGCUCCACUGAGCUACAUCCCGGUUCUUUUUAUUUUAUUGUGAGACAGGACCUAAGUUUGCUCAGGCUGGCCUCAAACUUGCAAUCCUCCUACCUCAGCCUCCUGAGUCACUGAGAUUACAGGUGUGUGCCACGGGGCCUGACCUGGCAUUCACAAAUUCUGGUUUGGGAUUCUUGGUAGGAUCCUUGAUCAAAAUGCCAUGAGGACACCUGCCCAUGAGCCAAAAUGUUAGAACAAACAUCAUAAGACGCAAGUGAGCACUAGGAAGCGAGAGACAGUGCUGGAGAACCUCCAGGCUCAGCGGAGAGACCCUGACCCACAGAUAGGAGUCUGCACAAGGCUCAUGAAACCAAUAAAAAAUGUGGAGUUUGGCACUUAGUUAAUUCUCUGAGUCAAUGAGCAGAAUAGUAAAACACUAAAUGUAGCAAAACUGGGGUAUUAAGAACCAGGACAGUAUAAACCUGUUUAAUAUGGAAUUUCCUAUGCCUUCCAUACAAAUCCAUCUUUGACUAUUGGAACGAUCAGUUCCUCUUUCAGUAUUGAGAAGUGAAUAGAAUCAAAUCUAUAGGUGAAGAAACUACUCAUACAAUUUCAAAACCAAAGUCAAUGACACAGCAAUGCCCAGUCUGAACAGCCCUCAACACCAUGAGUUUGGAGACCUCCCUCCUAUGGUUUUGGCUAGGCUCAGUCUGGCCCAUUGGACCUAAAGCCACAGUUGGGCGGGCGAGGCUGAAACUGAACGGGCCAACAGCAUGAGGCUGCUGACCUGCAACGGGUCAUAAUUGUGGUCAGGUGUCUCCAUGGCAACCUCUCUGAGCCACACCUGUGGGGUUAGUGACAUCCCAUGACCGGAGCACCAUAGUGCCGGGAACAGCCCUGGCUACUGUAAGUAAUCCCCAAACCUCACCUUUAGAUGAAAGGAUGUAAGAACUUAAUUCACACCAAGAAACAAAUUAGUGUGAUACUGGAAGGAAAGUAUUUCUGUGAGAGAUCUAGAAGGUUCCUUGAACUCUCUUGUCUCCCAGAGUCAGGAGAGUAGGACCUGGGAGAGAGGGAAGAUCAGAGAAAGGUUCUAAGGAACCCCCUAGGUUAGGGGGAGGAAUGAGUGAAGAUAUCACAGCUGCUCACGGUUCCUUGGACUUGAGCCUUAAGUUAGCUGAACUUACGAAAGCACUGCUUGACUAGAGUCGCCCAGAAGACUGUAGGUUACUGGCCUAAUGACCUGUGAGCCAUCCCAGAGCAGUGAGAGACGAGUUUUUAUUUCACUUAGGUGGUUCUGGAGAGAAACCUUUCCAGGACCCAUGUAUGGGCACAGCUGUUUUCCCUGAUCAGGACCUUUGCGGCACCCAAGUAAGUCUAUAAUUACCAGAUAGAUUUUGUUCUAUCUCUGACCUAUUUGCAAAUUCUAUUCUUUUUUUUCCCCCCUAACAAAAAAAGCCCCUACUAUUUUCUUCUACAAUUAUAAUAUUUAUUUCUUGAUCAUUUUACCUUCUGUUCACCAAAUAAUCAAAAUCCAAAGUGGCAGAAUUUUCCACUCUGUUUUCCUAUGGUAAAGAAGUGCUUAAAAGUAGACCGAGUCUUAGUGGCUUUAAUUUCUCAAGCGUCUCAAGAUGUUCUGUUGAAAGACUUUGGAGUCCUUAUUUUAGGCCUUUUAUAGUAUGUCCUUUUACAUUAUGUUCAAAGGCUAAGCCCAUUUUAUCUUAGUUUUCAGAGGUCACUAAGUAAAUGAGGGGAAACGGUAAUUCAUCUUCCUUGUGGGAAAACUAAAUCAUCAUUAAGUAGUCAAACACUACUUACUUAAUGAUCCCACCUGCUCAAUGGUGCCACGUAGAACUGAACCUCCUAACUGGGUGUGGAGCCAAAAUGUCAUUUCACAAAGGCAUUGGGCAGGGGGGACGGACUUGUCAAGUGGCAAUGCCUUUAUGAGAUGAAGUUCAACGCAAACCUUCCUAAACAGUUUUGCUGUAUUGUCCUGUCACUGAAGAAGAGGUCAUGAGUAUGUAUGUUGGACCCUCAGGGAUAGCGCUAAUAUGGGAAACAGCUUUGGGUUAGGGCACUGGUCAGCUUUCCAGGAGAGUGAAAACUCUGGCACGUGGUUUUGAAACCCUCAAACAAAAAGUACCAAAGUGGCCAGAUAAUUGCCAUAAAGGUCAUGCACAGUCUUCUUCAGGAACUACACUCUGUUUCCGACUCUGUACCUACUGCACGUGGCCAUCUGGUUUCCAGGACACAUAGUAAACCAGAUGAGAGUAGGUGACAAGUAAAGACAGCUGUUAUUUUAUGUGGGCAGCUACAAUAAGUGACAGCUGACUGGCGGGGGGGGGGGGGGGGAAGAAGUGGGACGGUGGCUCUAAAAAGCAGAGAGAGGACUGGGGAUGUAGCUCAGUGGCAGAAGGUCUGCCUGGUAUGCAAAAGGCCCUGGGAGGAGGGCAGAGAGAGAUGAGAUGGAAGAGUUCAAACCCCAGAGACCCAGAGCACCUGAGCUCCAGGACAAGCCACCUCCUGUGAACUCUCUGGUCAUCCCUGUCUCACAACAGUGGGAUCACUGACUUGAUAAUGCUCAAAUGCUAGAGCUGGGAAGACACCAGGGAUCUAGUCCAACUCACAAUUUACAGAUGAGGAAACAGGCCUGGGGAAGCACAGCUGGUUAGGGGUACAGCUGCAGCCAGGAAACUUGGGACCCCAUGGGCCAACUUUAUUCUGCACCCUCCCUCAGAGAGGUGAAAAUAGUGCAUAGCUUCAAAAGGCUACAAAAGGAUUUAAUAAAAGUUUAAAAUGUUUUCCUGACAAAAUGGCUGAAGCCUCACUGAUUAAAUAUAAGAAUUAAAUAUGAUAAAGUACAAAAGGCUGUGAAACAUAGAGACCAAAAACUUGUUAGCUAUUAUUAUGAAUGUAAAAUCUAACACAUGAAAGUGUUUGAACAUUUUUCUACUCAUACUUUAAAUAAUGUGGCUCUGCCAGAAAUUAAUUUUCAUGAAGCCAUUGAUACAUUGCAGAUGCUACAAGCUCACCCUCAGAAAGUUCUCCCCAAGGCACCUUCUUUUAAAUGUACACUUCCACUUUCUAUCUUCUUGCUUUGAUUUAGUAUGCUUUGCCAAUACUGUUGUUAUCACAGGGUUCCAAUAGCUUUCUGAUUUUGCGUGACAGAUAGACCUUAAACAUAUUCCGCUGGGUACAGUGGUGCAUACCUGUAAUCCCAGCGGUUCAGGAGGCAGAGGCAGGAGGAUCAUGAGUUCAAAGCCUCAGCAACUUAGUGAGGCCUUAAGCAACUCAGGGAGACCCUGUCCCUAAAUAUAACAUAAAAGGGCUGGGGAUGUGGCUCAGUGGUUAAGUGCCCUGAGGUUCAAUCCCCAGCACCAAAAAAAAAAAAAAAAAAUAUUCGACUUUUCCUAUUAUAUUUGUACAUUCUUUAAGUGAGUAGGGGCCAUUAUCUCUGAAUAAUCAAGCAAAAACUGAAAUAUAAACAAACUAAUGACAUCAGUACUUAGAUGAAAAUGGGAGGAUGGAGUGUUUUGAUAACUGAGUGUUAAUUUGAUCUAAUUUCUUCAAAUGAUGAUUUUUUUUUAAACUGGGAAUUGAAGCCAGGGCUUCAAGCACACUAGGAAGUGCACCCCCAGUGCACUACCCUCCCCUACCUUUUUAUUUUGAGACAGGAUGUCACAAGUUCCCCAGACUGACCUCAAACUUGAGGUCCUCCUGCCUUCCAUCACUGCCCUGGUUGUAAAUGAUGAUCUAAAGCAAUUUCACUAAGUAAGAGGCAGGGAAGUAGAUUAGUUGGUAGGAUGGAUAAAUGAUUGAGGAAAAUAUAAUGAUUUCUUUCACACCCACUAAACCUUACUCUCCUCUAUCAAAGAUUUUGUCUGUGAUUGACUUCUCUUUCCCUUCAUGCCUGUGUGUUCCUCCAACUAUCUUUACAUUCAUCAGUGAAUUCCUAAGUGUUAAAAGAAAUGCUUCCAAUCAUUGCAAGGUAACCAAUGUCAAAGGUACCACCACCAGAUCCUUCUUAUAUUUGCCUUCCAUAUGAUCCCUAAACUUCCUUGGCCUGAUCACUAAGUGUUGGGUUGUCUUUGGCUGAGUCUCUUUUCUCUUCCCAAAGUGAUGUCAUCCACUUCCCACCAACUUUAAAUGCCAUAAAGUGAUGACUCGACAUUCCCAGCCCUUCCCUCUCACUGGUCCUAUGCCUACUAUUCACCUGCUUGCUGGACAUCACUUGGCUGCCUACUGUGCACCUCAAACUUACCAUGAAGGAAACCCCAAUGCUUGCUUUCUUCUCUCCAGGUCUCACCCUAAAAACCUCCUCCUCCUCCUGCAUCCUAAUGGCAUGCUAGUUGCUCAGGCCUGAAUCCUAAGCACCUUUGAUUUCUCCCAAGCUCACCCCCCAUCGAAGGAGGCUUCAUCAUGAAGCUCAUGAAGUCUACCCUUCAGGGUCCUUCCCUUGCUUAGGACCCACCCAAAGCCCUCCAUGUAAUUUUGUGUUCAGUUUUUUUCAUUUUUCUUAGAGAGGGUCCUCAAAUUGUGUAAGUUUCAGGUCUCACAAAAAUUUGGGUCUACCUUUGCAUCCAGCUUGAUUUUCAAAAGGAAACUAAAACUGACCAUUUGGGGCACCAUUAUGGACCAAGCCACGGUCUCCCUGCAGAGCUGCGAUGGACUUCUGAUGCUCCUUCAGCUUCCUCACCUUCCGACCUCUGGUCUCUUUCCAUGCAGCAGGCAGGAUGACCUUUUAAAACUGUUUUUUUAGAUCAUAUGUCUUUCUUAACCCUCCAGUGACUUCCCGUUCCCAUCAGGAUAAGGCGCAUCACUGAGCAACCCCUAGGUGACCUGCCUCUGUUUACCUCCCAGCCCUCCCCUCCUUGCUUACUGCCCUCCAACUACACCCCCUUUCUUCCCAGAAAUGUGCCAGAUUCACUUUUGCCUUCAAGCUUUUGUACUGUUUCCUCUGCUUUGGAGGAACUCUUCCAUUUCUUGUCUCAUUUUUCAACUCAAUUCUCACUAUUCCUCAAAAGACUGUGUCCCUAAAGUAUCACCCCACCCUACUCUAGUCAUUCUAAUCCCACUAUCCUUCUCUUUCACUUAUCAUUAAAUGAAAUCAUCAUCCUUUUGUUUAUUAUCUGACUUCUCUCCAAAGAUUGCAGGCUCCAUGAAGAUGAGAACCCAGUCUGCAGGCUCACUGCAACCUAGCCUAGCAGUGCCUACCACAGAGAAGGUGCCUGUUAAAAAGUCAUCAAACAAGGGAAUUAAUGAAAUGUUCAUUAAAAAAUACUAAUGCAGUUCAAUGUGGCACAAAACAGCACCACACAUAGAGUGGAUAAUUGAGUAUGAACUAUUAUAAUGUUACAUUCUUCUUCUUGGACUAUAGACUGCUAAAAGUUUAUCCUGUCAAUAUCUGCAAAUUUGAGAUGUGGAUUGAUGUCACAAUUCUCCACCAUUUAUGUCAUCAUAACGCAUAAGGCAAAAUGGGCAUGCCUUUGUGUCCAAACUGUAAGAUAUUUGCUAUAAAUAGCCAAGAGGUGGGAAUAAAAAUAGGAUAACUCAUAUCUGAAUUGCCUAACUCCCUCUCCCCCAGUACUGGUCAGGAAGGCUCAGGGGUUCAAGGGUUAUGAAUGUUAUCCAUACACUCUCAGCCAAGUAAAAAUACUGUGAAAGUAAGAAAAAAAUCAGCAAUUGAGGACUGCAUUGAUUUCCUUCAGCUCUAUAAGGAAAAGCAUUUUAAAAAAUAAUAGCUGUAUUGAUAUAUAAAUUACAUAUCAUAAAGUUCAUCCUUUAAUGUGCACAAUUGAGUUCUAGUGUAUUGACAGAGUUGUACAUCCAUUAUCACUAUCACGUUUGAGGACAUAUUCAUCAUCCCCCAAAAGAAACUCCACAUUUGUUAGCAGUCUCUCCUUCCCUCCCCUUCUGUUCCCUACCCACCCUUCUCCAUCCCCAGGCACACUCAACCACUAAUUUUCUGUGUUUAUGGCUUUGCUCAUUCUGGACAUUUCAUGUAUAUGGAACAAAAAAAAAUAACUGGUAUUUAUGGCCAACUUAUUUCAUUUAGUAUAAUGACUUUAUUUGUUCAUUUAUUUACUUUGGUAUUAGGGAUUUACCACUAGUCACAUCCCCAGUCCUUUUUAUUUUUUAUUUUGAGAUAGGAUCUCACUAAGUUGCUUAGGCUCUUGCUAAGUUGCUGAGACUGACCUCAAACUUGUGAUCCUCCUGCCUCAGCCUUCUGAGUCACUGUGAUUACAAGCAUGUACCCAGUGCCCAGCCUAGUAGAAUGAUUCUAAGGUUCUUCCUUGUUAUAGCAUGUAUCAGUAAUUUAUUUCCUUUUAAUGCCACAUAAUAUCUCAUUGCAUAGUUAUAGCAUAUUUUGUUUACCCAUUCAUCAGUUGAUUGGUUUGAACAUUUCCACUUUCUGGAUUUUAUGACUAAUGUUGCUAUGAACAUUCAUGUCAGGUUGUUGUGUAAAUAUGUUUUAAUUUUGCUUGAGUGUUUAUCUAGGAAUGGAAUUGCUAAAUCAUAUGGUAACAAUGCAUAACUUUUUGAAGAACUGUCAGAAUGUUUUCCAAACCAACUGCAAGAUUUUUACAUUCCCAUAAGAAGGGGUCUGAAAGAGUAUGAGGGUCUGAAUUUCUCUACAUUCUCACUGACACCUGUCAUUGCCUUUUUUAUCAAAGCUUCCUAAUGGACAUGCAGUAGUAUCUCAUUGUGAUUUUGAUUUGCAUUUCCCUAGUCAUUAAUGAUGUUGAACAAUCUUCAUGUGUUUACUGGUCACAGGUAUAUUUCCUUUGCAGAAAUGUUCAUGCAAUGUUUUGCCUACUUUUUAAACUGGGUUGUUGUUCAAUGUAAAGAAUUCUUCAUACUUUCUGGAUACAAGUCCCUUGGAAGAUACAGGAUCUGCAUGUUUUCCUCCCAUUUUAUGCCUUGUCUUCACUCUUUUUUGGUGGGAGGGGUACCAGGAAUUGAACUCAGGGGCACUUGGCCACUGAGCCACAUCUUCAGUCCUAUUUCUGUAUUUUAUUUAGAGACAGGGUCUCACUGAGUUGCUUGGCACCUUGCCAUUGCUGAGGCUAGCUUUGAACUCGUGAUCCUCCUAUCUCAGCCUCCAGAGCUGCUGGGAUUACAGGCAUGUGUCACUGUGCUUCACUUGUCUUCACUUUUGAUGGUUUUCUUAGGAAGCACAAAAGUUUUUAAUUUUGUGAAAUCUAAUUUAACUCUUUCUCUUUUGUCAUUUUUUAUUUUGUUUCAUGUCUAAAAAACUAUUGCCUAAUCCAAGACCAUGAAGAUUUAGUCCCAUGUAGUCCUCUAAGAAUUUCAAGGUUCUAGUUCUUAUGUUUAAGUCUAUGACUCAUUUUGAGGCUUUUUAUAUGGUGUGAGGUAGGGAUCUAGCUUCAUUCUUUUGCAUAUGGAUAUCCAGCUGUUCCAGCAACAUUUGUUGAAAAGACUACUUUUUCUACAUAGAAUGGCCUUCGCACCUGUUUAGUCAGGGUUCUCCAGAGAAACAGAAACAACAGGACAUAUAUUUAUAGAUUUAUUUUAAGGAAUUGGUUCAUAUCAUUAUAGGAGCUAGCAAGGCCAAAACCUAGAAAGCAGGCCAGCAGGCGAGCAAUCUAGACACUAAGGUAGUGGUCUUGAACUUGUAAUCUUAAGGGCAGGCUAGCAGGUGAAAACCCCGGAAGAAUUACUAUUCUGCGAUCUUGGGCAUACUUGCUUCUUCCUCCAGAACCUCGGUUAUUUCCUAGUUAGCCUUCCAUUGAUUGCUGGAAGUUUGCCCACCUCAUGGAGGGUAAUUGAUUUUGCAUAACAACAACUAAUUAUAAAUAUUAAAUCACAUCCACAAAUACCUUCAUGGCAACAUUUAGACCAAUGCUUGACCAAACAACUGGGCACCACAAACUAGCCAAGAUGGAACAUAAACUAACCUUCAAGGCACCCUUGACAAAAAAUCAACUGACGACACUUGAAAGGUUUAUUUCUGUACCCUCCUUUCAUUCCAUUGAUGUGUGACUAUUCCUAUACCAACACCACAGUGUCAUGAUUAUUGUAGCUCUGUUGAAAGCUCUGAGUUCAAGAAGUAUGAAUCUUCCAACUUUUUGAUAUUGUUUUGGUUAUUCAGGCUCUUGCAAUUCCACAUGAAUUUUAGGAUCAGCUUGUCCAUAUCUUUAAAAAAAAGCAUUUGGAAUUUUGAUAUAGAUUGCCUUGCAUCAAUUGAGAGAGUGGUAUAUUAUCAUCUUAAUAAUUUUCUAUCUUCCAACUCAUGUAUAAGAAAUGUGUUUCAUUUAGAUUUUCUAUACUUUCUUUCAACAAUGUUAUAAAUUUAAUGCAUAAGUCUUAUACUUCUUUUAUAAAUUUGUUUCUGCUUCAUUCUUUUUUAUGCUAUUGAAAAUGGAAUUAUUUUUAUUUCAUUUUUUGAUUGUUCAUCUUGCUAUUCUACCAGGCUGGCCUUGAAUCCAUGAUCCUGCCUCAGUCUCCCAAGUAGAUAGGAUUACAGGUGUACAUCAUAAUGUCCAGUUCCACAGUCGAUUUUUGUUAUUGAUCUUAUAUCCUGCAACCUGGAUGAAUUAAUUCUAUUUGUUCUAAGUGUGUGCAUUCCUUAGGAAUUUUCUCUAUAUUAAAUCAUGCCACCUGUGAACGAACUUCCAGCACAAUGAACAUUCUUGUCUUAUUAUUGAUUUCAGGGAGAAGGCAUCCAGUUUUUCUCUAGCAAGUAUGAGGUUAGCUGUGAAUUUGUCAUAGAUGGACUUUAUGAGGUUGAGACUGCUUCUCUUUAUUACUAGUUUGUUGAGUGUUUAUCAGGAAAAAGUAUUAGAUUCUAUGAAAGGCUUUUUCCACAUCAGUUGAAAUGAUCAUAAGUUUUUAUACUUUAUUCUAUGACUAUGGUGUCUUUCACUGAUUUUCAUGUUAUGCCAAUGUUACAUUCCUGGGAUAAAUUCCACACAUAAAAUACAACAUAUAGAAAGGUUGAUCAUCCUUUUUAUAUGGUGCUAGACUCAGUUUGCUCAUAUUUUAUUGAGAAUUCUUAUGACAACAUUGCUAAAUGUUCAUAAUUUGGUUCAUAAUUUUCUCGUGAUGUCUGUCUAGUUUUGGUGUCAUGGUCACAGUGGCUACAUAGAAUGACUGUGUCUUCAUGCUGCUUCUAUUUCUUGUCAGAGUUUGAGAAGUGUUGGUAUUCAUUCUUUAAAUGUUUGAUAGAGUUCACCAGUUUAGUCAUCUGGUUCUAGACUUUUCUUUGGGUGGAGUUUUUUUUUAAUUAUUAUUUUACUUGUUAUAGGUUGAUUCAGAUUUUUCUACUUCUUCCUGAAUAAGUCUUGAAAAUUUGUGUCUUUCAAGAAAUUUGUCCAUUUCAUCUAGGUUAUCUAAUUUGCUGGUAUAUAAUUGUGAGCAGUAUUCCUUUAUCUUUCUUUUAUGUCAAAAAGUGUGGUGAUGAUGUCCCUUCUUUCAUUCUUUAGUAUUUGAGUCUUAGCUCCCCCACCCUACCGCCAUCAUCAAUAUAGUCAAAGGUUUUUCAAUUUUGUUGACAAAAUCUUUCAAAGAAACAAUUUUGCAUUGUUUUUUCUUUAUUGUUUUUCUAUUCCAUAUUUUAUUUGUUUCUUUUCUAGUCUUUAGUAUUUCUUUCUUUCUGUGUGUAGGUUGGUAUGCUUUUCUCACUAUAGUUCCUAAGAAACUAAGGUAGGUGUUUACAGAUCUAAAUUUCCAUAUGAGCACAGAUGUCACUACACCCCUUAAGUUUUAGUAUUUAUACUUUUUUCAUUCAUCUCAAGGUAUUUUCUAAUUCCUCUUGUGAUUUAUUCUUUGACAUAUUUGCUAUUUAGGAGUGUGCCUUGUAGUCUAUACAUAUUUGCAGAUUUCUCAAAUUUCCUUUUGUUUUUGAUUUCUAAUUUUAUUCUAUUGUGGUUACAGAACACACUUUAUGAUUUCAGCCUUUUUAAAUUCACUAAGAUUUGUUUUAUGGCCUAGCAUAUGGUCUAUCCUGAAGAAUGUUCCAUAUGUGCUUGAGAAAAAAAAUGUGUACUCUGCUGCUGUUGGGAGUGUCUUACAUGCUUCUCUUGGGUUUAGUUGGCUCAUACUGUUCCUCAUGGCUUCCACUUAUCAUUAAUCUGCCUGGUUACCCUAACAAUUAUUGAAAGUGGGGACUGAAGUCUCAAACUAUUUUUUUAAUUAUUUCUUUCUUUCUUAAUCCUGUCAGGUUUUAAUUUUGGGUCUCUGUUGUUAGUUGCAUGUGUUUAAAUUUGUUAUAUAUUUCUGAUUAAUUGACCUUUUAUCAUAAAAAUGUCCUCCUUUGUCUCCAAUGACACUUUCUGUUUGGAAAUCUAUUUUGUCUGAUGUUAAUGUAGCCAUUUUCAGUUUUGUUCUCUUUUGGAUACUGUUUACAUGAUGUGUCUUUUUCCAUUCUUUCACUUUCAGUCUAUUUGUGUUCUAUGAAAAAAAACAUUUAAGUUCAAAGAAAAAUCCCUCUGCUGAGUCUAUUUUUGUUUCAGGUUUUAAAAUGCAACAAAUGAUGUUUUAUAAAUCCACUGACAACAUUUAAAUGAAAACAAUCAACAUCAAGAAAAUAAAAGAUCUUUUUCUUUUCCUGUAACUCUUGACCAGUCCUAGAUUUAAUUUAUACUUAUUCUACAAGAUCAAAUUUGAUCUGUUCUUAAUUACCAUCUUAAGGCCCACAAUUCUGUUUGUCAAACCAACAGGUGAAGAAAAUUCCUAAGCAAGGAACACUGCUCAUAAACUAC
rnacentral:lncRNA from 1 species